UGCCAGCCGCCGCGGUACUACCGGCAGCUCAAGUGAUGUCCCAUAUUAUUGGGCCUAAAGCGUCCGUAGCUGGCCGCGCAAGUCCAUCGGAAAAUCCACCCGCCCAACGGGUGGGCGUCCGGUGGAAACUGCGUGGCUUGGGACCGGAAGGCGCGACGGGUACGUCCGGGGUAGGAGUGAAAUCCCGUAAUCCUGGACGGACCACCGAUGGCGAAAGCACUUCGAGAAAACGGAUCCGACAGUGAGGGACGAAAGCCAGGGUCUCCAACCGGAUUAGAUACCCGGGUAGUCC
rnacentral:rRNA from 1 species